GGGGCUGAUUCUGGAUUCGACGGGAUUUGCGAAACCCAAGGUGCAUGCCGAGGGGCGGUUGGCCUCGUAAAAAGCCGCAAAAAAUAGUCGCAAACGACGAAAACUACGCUUUAGCAGCUUAAUAACCUGCUCUGAGCCCUCUCUCCCUAGCUUCCGCUCUUAAGACGGGGAUCAAAGGUCCGCAGCUGGCAAGCGAAUGUAAAGACUGACUAAGCAUGUAGUGCCGAGGAUGUAGGAAUUUCGGACGCGGGUUCAACUCCCGCCAGCUCCACCA
rnacentral:tmRNA from 1 species